GAUGAACGCUGGCGGCGUGCCUAAUACAUGCAAGUCGAGCGAACGGACGAGAAGCUUGCUUCUCCGAUGUUAGCGGCGGACGGGUGAGUAACACGUGGAUAACCUACCUAUAAGACUGGGAUAACUUCGGGAAACCGGAGCUAAUACCGGAUAAUAUUUUGAACCGCAUGGUUCAAAAGUGAAAGACGGUCUUGCUGUCACUUAUCGAUGGAUCCGCGCUGCAUUAGCUAGUUGGUAAGGUAACGGCUUACCAAGGCAACGAUGCAUAGCCGACCUGAGAGGGUGAUCGGCCACACUGGAACUGAGACACGGUCCAGACUCCUACGGGAGGCAGCAGUAGGGAAUCUUCCGCAAUGGGCGAAAGCCUGACGGAGCAACGCCGCGUGAGUGAUGAAGGUCUUCGGAUCGUAAAACUCUGUUAUUAGGGAAGAACAUAUGUGUAAGUAACUGUGCACAUCUUGACGGUACCUAAUCAGAAAGCCACGGCUAACUACGUG
rnacentral:rRNA from 1 species